rnacentral:lncRNA from 1 species
GAGGUUGUGCUGGGUGCUGUCAUCUUCCUGCACAAUAAAGGCAAGAUUUCAUAAAUAAAGGCAGGAGAGAGCCCCUGCCUGGCUCUGCACACCUCACACCCCCUCCUCUCCCCUCAGAACUGAAGAGUGAGAAAUCCAUCGCUCUGGAAACUUUCUGUGUGCCUGCUACCUUCAAACCCUUCCUGCUCUUGGAUUUCCUUCUGCCAGCCCUGCUCCAGCCCCUCGGGUGUCACCUGGCCGUGUCUGAACCUCUCAGGUGCUGCUUGAGCAGCAAAGCUGGAUCCAUUCUCUGUUCUGGAGAAGCCACAGCAAUAUCAGGGAAAAUGAUCCCAUUAAUCCCUGCUUGUGGAAGGACGUGAAGCUUUUUCAGAUCAUUCCUUGUGCUGCCACUGCCUGUUAAAGGGAUGGCACAGAGCAGAGUGAGCCUGCUCUGGGGGUGCAGAACCUGAGGACAAAUCCCACCCAGGACUGUCUCAGUGGCUCUGUUCUCAGCAGCUUUUUUUCCCAUGGGAUGCAUCUGCUGGAGUGCAGGGAAAAUAAAGAUCCCCUGAAACUCCCCA